rnacentral:rRNA from 1 species
GACGAACGCUGGCGGCGUGCUUAACACAUGCAAGUCGAGCGGGGUGAUGGUGCUUGCACUAUCACUUAGCGGCGGACGGGUGAGUAAUGCUUAGGAAUCUGCCUAUUAGUGGGGGACAACAUCUCGAAAGGGAUGCUAAUACCGCAUACGUCCUACGGGAGAAAGCAGGGGAUCUUCGGACCUUGCGCUGAUAGAUGAGCCUAAGUCGGAUUAGCUAGUUGGUGGGGUAAAGGCCUACCAAGGCGACGAUCUGUAGCGGGUCUGAGAGGAUGAUCCGCCACACUGGGACUGAAACACGGCCCAGACUCCUACGGGAGGCAGCAGUGGGGAAUAUUGGACAAUGGGGGGAACCCUGAUCCAGCCAUGCCGCGUGUGUGAAGAAGGCCUUAUGGUUGUAAAGCACUUUAAGCGAGGAGGAGGCUACUUUAGUUAAUACCUAGAGAUAGUGGACGUUACUCGCAGAAUAAGCACCGGCUAACUCUGUGCCAGCCGCCGCUGUAA